rnacentral:rRNA from 1 species
CCUACGGGAGGCAGCAGUGAGGAAUAUUGGUCAAUGGGCGAGAGCCUGAACCAGCCAAGUCGCGUGAAGGAUGACUGCCCUACGGGUUGUAAACUUCUUUUGUCAGGGAGCAAUUGGGUCCACGCGUGGGCUUAGCGAGAGUACCUGAAGAAAAAGCUUCGGCUAACUCCGUGCCAACAGCCGCGGUAAUACGGAGGAUGCGAUCGUUCUCCGGAUUUAUUGGGUUUAAGGGAGGCGUAGGCGGAAUAUCAAGUCGGCGGUAAAGAUUCGGGGCUCAACCCCGUCGUGCCGUUGAUACUGGUGUUCUUGAGUGGGCGAGAAGUAUGCGGAAUGCGUGGUGUAGCGGUGAAAUGCAUAGAUAUCACGCAGAACUCCGAUUGCGAAGGCAGCAUACCGGCGCCCAACUGACGCUGAAGCACGAAAGCGUGGGUAUCGAACAGGAUUAGAUACCCUGGUAGUC